ACACUGACGGCAGCACAUCUUGUCCUUUCCUUGGCAGCCUUCGGCUCAUCCCUUGCACUCUGGGUGUGCUGACCCCUGCGAUUUCCCCAAAUGCGGGAAAAUCAACUGCGUAAUUUGCGGUAUUGGGGGACGGCGUUCACGCUCUCCUGUU
rnacentral:snRNA from 14 species